AUUGAACGCUGGCGGCAUGCCUUACACAUGCAAGUCGAACGGCAGCGGGGGAGAAGCUUGCUUUUCCUGCCGGCGAGUGGCGAACGGGUGGGUAAUACAUCGGAACGUGCCCUGUAGUGGGGGAUAACUAGUCGAAAGAUUAGCUAAUACCGCAUACGACCUGAGGGUGAAAGUGGGGGACCGCAAGGCCUCAUGCUAUAGGAGCGGCCGAUGUCUGAUUAGCUAGUUGGUGGGGUAAAGGCUUACCAAGGCGACGAUCAGUAGCUGGUCUGAGAGGACGAUCGGCCACACUGGGACUGAGACACGGCCCAGACUCCUACGGGAGGCAGCAGUGGGGAAUUUUGGACAAUGGGCGAAAGCCUGAUCCAGCAAUGCCGCGUGUGUGAAGAAGGCCUUCGGGUUGUAAAGCACUUUUGUCCGGAAAGAAAUGGCUCUGGUUAAUACCUGGGGUCGAUGACGGUACCGGAAGAAUAAGGACCGGCUAACUACGUGCCAGCCGCCGCGGUAA
rnacentral:rRNA from 1 species